rnacentral:rRNA from 1 species
UAAUGAUGGGUAGGGGAGCUUCCCAUACGGGUUGAAGCAUGACCGUAAGGACAUGUGGACAGUAUGGGAGUGAGAAUGUUGGCAUGAGUAGCGAGAUGUGGGUGAGAAUCCCACAGGCCGUAAACCCAAGGUUUCCAGGGGAAGGUUCGUCCGCCCUGGGUUAGUCGGGACCUAAGCUGAGGCCGAAAGGCGUAGGUGAUGGACAACAGGUUGAU